CCUACGGGAGGCAGCAGUAGGGAAUAUUGCACAAUGGGGGAAACCCUGAUGCAGCAACGCCGCGUGGGGGAAGAAGCUCCUCGGAGCGUAAAGCCCUGUCGUCAGAGAAGAAAAUGACGGUACCUAAAGAAUAAGCACCGGCUAACUACGUGCCAGCAGCCGCGGUAAUACGGGGGGGGCAAGCGUUAUCCGGAUUUACUGGGUGUAAAGGGGGCGCAGGCGGGUAUGCAAGCCAGGAGUGAAAGCCCGGGGCCAACCCCUGGACUGCAUUUGGAACUGGUUUGCUGGAGUGAAGGAGGGGUAGGUGGAAUUCUUGGUGUAGCGGUGAAAUGCGUAGAUAUCAGGAGGAAUACUGGUGGCGAAGGCGGCCUGCUGGAACGUAACUGACGUUGAGGCGCGAAAGCGUGGGGAGCAAACAGGAUUAGAUACCCCGGUAGUC
rnacentral:rRNA from 1 species